AUUGAACGCUGGCGGAAUGCUUUACACAUGCAAGUCGAACGGCAGCGCGGGGGCAGCCCUGGUGGCGAGUGGCGAACGGGUGAGUAAUACAUCGGAACGUGCCCGGUCGUGGGGGAUAACGUAGCGAAAGUUACGCUAAUACCGCAUACGAUCUGAGGAUGAAAGCGGGGGACCUUCGGGCCUCGCGCGUUCGGAGCGGCCGAUGUCAGAUUAGGUAGUUGGUGGGGUAAAGGCCUACCAAGCCGACGAUCUGUAGCUGGUCUGAGAGGACGACCAGCCACACUGGGACUGAGACACGGCCCAGACUCCUACGGGAGGCAGCAGUGGGGAAUUUUGGACAAUGGGCGCAAGCCUGAUCCAGCCAUUCCGCGUGCAGGACGAAGGCCUUCGGGUUGUAAACUGCUUUUGUACGGAACGAAAAGGCUCUGGCUAAUACCUGGGGCUCAUGACGGUACCGGAAGAAUAAGCACCGGCUAACUACGUG
rnacentral:rRNA from 1 species